AUGGCCACGGGGUCCGCGGCCCGCGUGACGACGAGGUAGUCCCGGAUGGCCGUCCCGUGCCGGUCCUC
rnacentral:sRNA from 1 species